CGCGCACCCACUGACCUGGGCCCACUGUCUGGCACUCCCUAGUGAGAUGGACCCGGUACCUCAGAUGGAAAUGCAGAAAUCACCCGUCUUCUGCGUCGCUCCGAAAGAGUGGACCAGGAGGAGUUUUCAGAGGAGUCUGUGAUAGGCGCUUUGUGACUCCAGGACACGUUGAGAUUAUUUUGCCCUUCUGCCUUCUUCCAUGGGAAAUACAGCAAGAAAGCCCUCGCCACAUGCAGCCCCUCCAUGUUGGACUUCCCAGUCUUCAGAACCAUGAGCCAAAUAAACUUCUAUUGUUUAUAAAUUACUAAGUCUCAGGCAUCUUGUUACAGGAGCACAAAAUGGACUAAGACAUUUAGUAAUGUGAAAUGCAUUGAAGUAUGCUUUGUACAUGAUAAGCACUGAUUAAAUAUUAAAGAUCCUUAUUAGUAUCUUGCAUUGUUACCUCUCUUAUAAUAAUUUAAAAGUUAUAAAACCAAAAGCCUUCGAACUGUAAAAAGAGACUUUGAGGUCUUCAUUUCACUAAUAAUAAAAGUGAAGUCCAAAAAGAUUAAAAAACUUUCUCAGGGCAACACAGCAACUUAAUGACAGGUGAGAAACAUGACCCUGUUUUCUGACCAGUGUUUUAAGGCUUUCACUGUUCUAGUCACUGAUAAUUUGUGGUGACCAACACUGAAAUCAGUGAUUCAUUUCACAGAUAAAAUAUAAAUUAAAAGUUCAUAAGCCUAUGAAUUGGUAGACUAAAAACC
rnacentral:lncRNA from 1 species